UACGUAGGGUGCGAGCGUUGUCCGGAAUUAUUGGGCGUAAAGAGCUCGUAGGCGGUCUGUCGCGUCGGUCGUGAAAACUUGGGGCUUAACCCUGAGCUUGCGGUCGAUGCGGGCAUGACUGGAGUUCGGCAGGGGAGACUGGAAUUCCUGGUGUAGCGGUGGAAUGCGCAGAUAUCAGGAGGAACACCGAUGGCGAAGGCAGAUCUCUGGGCCGUAACUGACGCUGAGGAGCGAAAGCAUGGGGAGCGAACAGG
rnacentral:rRNA from 1 species